AUGAGUGUGGCGUCCAGGGGGUUUAGACGGCAAAGCCCCGCCAAGAGAAGAAGGGAGAUGCCGACCACAUCGAAUACCGUUGAGGGACCGAGUGGGAGGAGGAGGAAACACCGUUCACUGACUUCAGCCUCGUACUUGCCGUUGGAGGCUUUAAUAAGCCCGAGUGGAAGAGCUUUCAGGAAGGAUGAGUCGUGCCAGGGAAACAGCAAGUGUAACGCUUUGCCAUGUGAGAUGAUUCGAGAUACAGAUGCUGCCCAAUUUCUACCAUCUCAUUAAAUUUAUGUGCAAGAGCGUAGAUAGUCUCUCAGGAGAUAAUCCAUGGUUUUUACCAGUUUAAAAAAAAAUAUGAGACUCAAAGGAAUAUUAAAUCACUGACCUAUAAAGCAGAGUUGUUUUAUCAGGAUGCAAGACAUCUAACAACUUACAGCUGAAGAAUAAUUGUUUAAAUAACUGGCCACAUCCCCUAGAUGUUCAAGGCAAGUUUUGAUACUUUAAGUAACUAACACUUUUAAACAUGGAGAGGGAAAUGGGUUGGAGGCAAGUAUUUGAAUGAAAGAUGAAUAAGCUACCUCUACGAUGUUCACUAAAAAUGUUCAUUAUGUUAAAAGGAUUCCAUGUAUUCUGUAGGUGGAAGUGAUUUCAGGAAACAUUUCUUUCAUCAACAAAGGGAAAGCAUCACAUGGAGCACAGCAUUUUGGAGGGGAUCACUUAGUUAUCAAAGGAAACCACAUCUUUAUUCAUGUGUUUGUAAAAAAAAAAAGAGAAGAUACACUCUUGCUGAUUUUAAUACCAAGCAGCAUCUACUAUGUAAAUUAUAUUUUAUUAAGGUAAUCCUGAAGUCACUUUAAUGCCCCAUGACUUCUAGAACUCAGUAACUAAUUUUCUUUGUUUAUCCCGGCUGUAAAUGUCUUUGAUGCUGGAUCCCAGCCUAGAAUCACAUGGAAACAAUUAUGUAAUCAUUUUGCAUCACUAUUUAAAAAUAAAUUAUAUGAGACUAUUCA
rnacentral:lncRNA from 1 species